rnacentral:misc_RNA from 1 species
GGGCGAUAUAGUGCAUAAUUAAUUACCAGUGAUCUGAUCAUUUAAUACUUGUACAGAGAGUAAUUAAGCAAAACCUUUACAAGACAAGAACAAAAGCACAAUAUAAAGCAUAAAGAAUAUUACAUUAACAGUUUUAUUGAAUGUAGAAGGCAUAAAAUGCAUGGCGUUAACAUGCUAUUAUCCCACACAAACCCAGAAAGAAAGUAGAGUUUUGCUGACAAGAGAAAGCAGGCCUUCUUUAUUUAAAUAGCUGUGUUAACAGUAAGACUACAGCUGAGAUACUUUAGCCUGUCAAUGGUGAUUCCAAGACUAAUUAAUUAGUGCAUUUUGAAGGUCUUCCAUUUGCAUAGCUCAAACCCCUUGCGCUUCUGCUGGAUAAAGCCAUCGGUUUCCGCAUCAAUGCUCUCUUCAACAACUUCGCAUUUGCCAGAGUUAUCUUGGAAGAUAAUUUGCUCCUUUUCCUCCACAUGAACCUUCUUAUGGGGCUUAGUAGGAGUCUGCUGCUUUUGGACUAAACGCUCUUGAUGGAUAAUCUCCUCAGGUUCCUCUUCACGAGUUACCCUGUUGUUGAAGGCCCUGAACACAUUUGGGUAGCGAGGAGCAUCUGGAAGAACACUAGGCGUCCUUUCUAUUCUUGAAACGUGGACAUGGUAAUCUUGGGAGGUUGUUUCCCAGCCAUGCUGUUGCCUGGUGUGGGAGACCCGGGUUUGGGCCAUUUUGAUUUUGCCUGACUAUUUUCCUCUUCUUCCGG